rnacentral:rRNA from 2 species
UGCAGUCGAGCGAAUGAAGAGGAGCUUGCUCCUCUGAUUUAGCGGCGGACGGGUGAGUAACACGUGGGUAAUCUGCCUGUAAGACGGGGAUAACUCCGGGAAACCGGGGCUAAUACCGGAUAAUAAGAGAAGAAGCAUUUCUUCUUUUUGAAAGUCGGUUUCGGCUGACACUUACAGAUGAGCCCGCGGCGCAUUAGCUAGUUGGUGAGGUAACGGCUCACCAAGGCGACGAUGCGUAGCCGACCUGAGAGGGUGAUCGGCCACACUGGGACUGAGACACGGCCCAGACUCCUACGGGAGGCAGCAGUAGGGAAUCUUCGGCAAUGGGCGAAAGCCUGACCGAGCAACGCCGCGUGAGCGAUGAAGGCCUUCGGGUCGUAAAGCUCUGUUGUUAGAGAAGAACAAGUACGAGAGUAACUGCUCGUACCUUGACGGUACCUAACCAGAAAGCCACGGCUAACUACGUGCCAGCAGCCGCGGUAAUACGUAGGUGGCAAGCGUUAUCCGGAAUUAUUGGGCGUAAAGCGCGCGCAGGCGGUCUCUUAAGUCUGAUGUGAAAGCCCACGGCUCAACCGUGGAGGGUCAUUGGAAACUGGGAGACUUGAGUGCAGGAGAGAAAAGUGGAAUUCCACGUGUAGCGGUGAAAUGCGUAGAGAUGUGGAGGA